rnacentral:rRNA from 1 species
GCAAGUCGAGGGGUAACAGGGAUUGCUUGCAAUCCGCUGACGACCGGCGCACGCGUGCGUAACGCGUAUACAAUCUACCUUACACUGAGGGCUAGCCUUUGGAAACGGAGAUUAACACCUCAUAGUAUGUUUAGUUCACAUGGACAUAACAAUAAAGGUUACGGUGUAAGAUGAGUAUGCGUUCUAUUAGCUAGAUGGUGUGGUAACGGCACACCAGGGCAACGAUAGAUAGGGGGCCUGAGAGGGGGAUC